rnacentral:rRNA from 1 species
GAUGAACGCUGGCGGCGUGCCUAAUACAUGCAAGUCGAGCGAACAGACGAGGAGCUUGCUCCUUUGACGUUAGCGGCGGACGGGUGAGUAACACGUAGGUAACCUACCUAUAAGACUGGGAUAACUUCGGGAAACCGGAGCUAAUACCGGAUAAUAUUUCGAACCGCUUGGUUCGAUAGUGAAAGAUGGCUUUGCUAUCACUUAUAGAUGGACCUGCGCCGUAUUAGCUAGUUGGUAAGGUAACGGCUUACCAAGGCAACGAUACGUAGCCGACCUGAGAGGGUGAUCGGCCACACUGGAACUGAGACACGGUCCAGACUCCUACGGGAGGCAGCAGUAGGGAAUCUUCCGCAAUGGGCGAAAGCCUGACGGAGCAACGCCGCGUGAGUGAUGAAGGUCUUCGGAUCGUAAAACUCUGUUAUUAGGGAAGAACAAACGUGUAAGUAACUGUGCACGUCUUGACGGUACCUAAUCAGAAAGCCACGGCUAACUACGUG